rnacentral:rRNA from 1 species
GACGAACGCUGGCGGCGUGCUUAACACAUGCAAGUCGAACGGAAAGGCCCUGCUUUUGUGGGGUGCUCGAGUGGCGAACGGGUGAGUAACACGUGAGUAACCUGCCCUUGACUUUGGGAUAACUUCAGGAAACUGGGGCUAAUACCGGAUAGGAGCUCCUGCUGCAUGGUGGGGGUUGGAAAGUUUCGGCGGUUGGGGAUGGACUCGCGGCUUAUCAGCUUGUUGGUGGGGUAGUGGCUUACCAAGGCUUUGACGGGUAGCCGGCCUGAGAGGGUGACCGGCCACAUUGGGACUGAGAUACGGCCCAGACUCCUACGGGAGGCAGCAGUGGGGAAUAUUGCACAAUGGGCGGAAGCCUGAUGCAGCAACGCCGCGUGCGGGAUGACGGCCUUCGGGUUGUAAACCGCUUUCGCCUGUGACGAAGCGUGAGUGACGGUAAUGGGUAAAGAAGCACCGGCUAACUACGUGCCAGCAGCCGCGGUGAUACGUAGGGUGCGAGCGUUGUCCGGAUUUAUUGGGCGUAAAGGGCUCGUAGGUGGUUGAUCGCGUCGGAAGUGUAAUCUUGGGGCUUAACCCUGAGCGUGCUUUCGAUACGGGUUGACUUGAGGAAGGUAGGGGAGAAUGGAAUUCCUGGUGGAGCGGUGGAAUGCGCAGAUAUCAGGAGGAACACCAGUGGCGAAGGCGGUCCUCUGGGCCUUUCCUGACGCUGAGGAGCGAAAGCGUGGGGAGCGAACAGGCUUAGAUACCCUGGUAGUCCACGCUGUAAACGGUGGGUACUAGGUGUGGGGUCCAUUCCACGGGUUCCGUGCCGUAGCUAACGCUUUAAGUACCCCGCCUGGGGAGUACGGCCGCAAGGCUAAAACUCAAAGGAAUUGACGGGGCCCCGCACAAGCGGCGGAGCAUGCGGAUUAAUUCGAUGCAACGCGUAGAACCUUACCUGGGUUUGACAUGGAUCGGGAGCGCUCAGAGAUGGGUGUGCCUCUUUUGGGGUCGGUUCACAGGUGGUGCAUGGCUGUCGUCAGCUCGUGUCGUGAGAUGUUAGGUUAAGUCCCGCAACGAGCGCAACCCUUGUUCACUGUUGCCAGCACGUUAUGGUGGGGACUCAGUGGAGACCGCCGGGGUCAACUCGGAGGAAGGUGGGGAUGACGUCAAGUCAUCAUGCCCCUUAUGUCCAGGGCUUCACGCACGCUACAAUGGCUGGUACAGAGAGUGGCGAGCCUGUGAGGGUGAGCGAAUCUCGGAAAGCCGGUCUCAGUUCGGAUUGGGGUCUGCAACUCGACCUCAUGAAGUCGGAGUCGCUAGUAAUCGCAGAUCAGCAACGCUGCGGUGAGUACGUUCCCGGGGCU